rnacentral:rRNA from 1 species
CAGCAGCCGCGGGAACACGAAGGGUGCAAGCGUUAAUCGGAAUUACUGGGCGUAAAGCGUGCGUAGGCGGUGAGUUAAGUCUGCUGUGAAAUCCCCGGGCUCAACCUGGGAAUGGCAGUGGAUACUGGCUCGCUAGAGUGUGUCAGAGGAUGGUUGAAUUCCCGGUGUAGCGGUGAAAUGCGUAGAGAUCGGGAGGAACAUCAGUGGCGAAGGCGGCCAUCUGGGACAACACUGACGCUGAGGCACGAAAGCGUGGGGAGCAAACAGGAUUAGAUACCCCCGUAGUCCCUGUCUCUUAUAC